GACCCAGUGGUGUAGUGGUAAACCUGCCCACUUAUUGUGCAUCAUCGCACCCAGAUUUGUGGGAGAUCCCUGUUCGACUCAGGGUUGGGUCA